CUUGGUCAUUUAGAGGAAGUAAAAGUCGUAACAAGGUUUCCGUAGGUGAACCUGCGGAAGGAUCAUUAAUGAUUGCGAAUGGCUGCCUUCAGUGCUGGCUCUUACGAGCAUGUGCACGUUGGUGGCUUUCAUCCAAUACCCAUGUGAACCUUUGGCCUCUUGCUAGCUUUGGCUGGCAGAGGAUUUUUAUACACACUCGAAUGUAACGAAAACUAUUGUCGUGCGCAAGCACUAAUGUACAACUUUCAACAACGGAUCUCUUGGCUCUCGCAUCGAUGAAGAACGCAGCGAAAUGCGAUAAGUAAUGUGAAUUGCAGAAUUCAGUGAAUCAUCGAAUCUUUGAACGCACCUUGCACCCUUUGGCAUUCCGAAGGGUAUGCUCGUUUGAGUGUCAUUGUACUCUCACACUCUCUGAUCCUUUGGAUUCAGGGAGCGGUGGACUUGGGUGUUUGCUGCUUUCCUUGUGGCUCACCUGAAAUGUGUUAGUGCACCUCUUGGUUGGACAUAGAACGGCGUGAUAAGUGUCUUCGCCGGCACCUCGCAAGAGGGUGGCCAAUUGGGAGCUCUGUGCUUUCAAACCGUCUUCGGACAAUCUCUGACAACUUGACCUCAAAUCGAGUAGGACUACCCGCUGAACUUAAGCAUAUCAAUAAGCGGAGGA
rnacentral:rRNA from 1 species